UACGGAGGGUGCGAGCGUUAUCCGGAUUCACUGGGUUUAAAGGGUGCGUAGGUGGGCUGUUAAGUCAGUGGUGAAAUCUCCGGGCUCAACCCGGAAACUGCCAUUGAUACUAUCAGUCUUGAAUUUUGUUGAGGUAGGCGGAAUAAGUCAUGUAGCGGUGAAAUGCAUAGAUAUGACAUAGAACACCAAUUGCGAAGGCAGUUCGCUACACGAAUAUUGACUCUGAGGCACGAAAGCGUGGGGAUCAAACAGG
rnacentral:rRNA from 1 species